CCCGGUUGACUUGGAGCUGGCUGUCCGAGCUGUGGCUUGGAAGACCGACGCGAUGAAGCCCAGACCUGCAGGGUUCGUGGAUAAUAAACUCAAGCAGCGAGUGAUCCAGUGUAGACUAUGGUCGAAGAAAAAGAAAUGCUUUUAGGAUUCAGGUAGAAAAAGUAUUUAGCAUAAUUAGUAGUGAGAAGGAACUUAAGAAUUUAACAGAAUUAGAAGAUGAACAUUUGGCAAAAAGAGCAAGACAAGGUGAAGAGGAUAAUGACGUCUUGCUCUGUCACCCAGGCUUCAGUGCACUGGCACAAUCAUGGCUUACCGCAGUCUUGAUGUCCCAGGCCCAAGCGAUCCUCCCACCUCAGCCUCACAAGUACACUGAAAGCCAUUCUGAUGAUGAUUCAAGUAUGGAAGACUACCCAGAUCCACAGUCAGCAAAUCACAUGAACAGUUCCCUGCUGUCUUUAUAUCGGAAAGGAAAUCCUGAUUCUGUUUCAAAUACUCCUGAGAUGGAGCAAAGAGAAACCACCUCUUCAACACCACGGAUAAGUUCCAAAACAGGCUCCAUUCCCUUGAAGACCCCUGCCAAAGAUUCUGAGGGAGGAUGGUUUAUUGACAAAACCCCAAGUGGAAAGAAAGAAAGUUUUUUCUUGGACCUGUCAGAUGAGAAAAGUAAUCCUAAGAAGCCAAUAACUGAGAUAC
rnacentral:sRNA from 1 species